CCUAGUCUAAGCACUGCAAAGCAAGGCACUUGUCUCCCCAGAUACACCUGGCCGGGCCCCAGCUCCUCCCCUCCAAGACCCACUCCUCCCCUCUCCCCACCCCGCGCCCAUUUCCUGGCGGGGAGAGGACAGUGAUGCUCUGGGUUGUGGGGAAGUUCUAGGCCUCACAGCUGAGCACACACCAGAGCUGAGCUCCCCCUUGAAGCUCACGGGCAGUGGGUGGCCCAUGAGGGUGGCGCAGGUGUGUUCUCCUCCUCCAGCCCCUCCCCUACCCACCUGUGCCCUCAUUCUGCAGGGAGAGGCUCAGGGAAAUGUGCUGGGAGCCCCGAGGGUUCUGAGCUCGGCAGGUGAAUUCCCCUUCAUCCCUCGCGUGCACUCGAGGCAGCUUCAGCAGCCCAUGGUUCGAGGACUGUGAGGGGCUCAGGGUCAGGCUCCCUUGGGUCCAGCUCAGCCUGGCAGGGGGAUUGCUGUCGACAGCACAGACCAGGCGCAGAGACUGGCCCUCCAGGACUGAGAGGGAUGAGCUGUUCCCCAAGGCUGUGGAUGCUGUAGAGAAAGAGGGACCCAGGCAUCCCGGCCCAGCACUCACAGGACGCAUUGAAUUGGACAGUCCUGGUCAAGGUCACACCAGCCUCAGGCAGGGUCACCUGACAGGACAGGGGUCCCAACCCACCCCUGAGCUGCAGCCCCAGGACCUUUUCUUGUGCUGCUUCUGGAGCCUGCGCCUUACCCGUCACCAACACGUGGAGCUGGUUAGACGCGUAAUUCCAUCUCAUGCUUCCUCUCUCCAUGCGAAAGAAAAUGACCCCUGGUCCUUCCUCCUGGCGUCUCCGAUGCUCAGGGAGCAGUCGUUCAUCUGCAGGUUUCCAGAGAGACGGAAUCGGCCCUGGGUCUCCUUCUUCACUUUUCGUUUUGGGUUGUUCGUAGCCAUUGGAGCAUCCUGGGCUGUGUCAGCCCCUUCCUGGAACCAGUAGCCAUGAACUUGGGGAGAGUUAGUCAAGGCAACCUGGGGGUGGGAGAAGGAGGAGGGCACGUGGACACACAGGCCCUCCUGCACCCUCACCUCCCUCUGCACUUGCAGUGUGUAACCAUUCUCUUGCUGUCCCUGUCCCUCCACCCCCUCCCUCCCCCAGAGCAGGGGCAGCAGCAGCAGCAUGUCUGGGGUUGUAGGUGCCAGGGCUGCCAGGGAACGUCUGUUCCUCAGGGUUCUUCUCUCAGGAACUGAGGGCUCAAGACUUAGAGGAGGCCCCACAGGAAGACAGGGGCGAGGUCGGAACAGUGACCUCCUCAGAGGAGGAACUUCACAACCCAGACACUGUCAGGGUCCGCCCUUGGAGAUCAAUCAUCUACAAUCCCACAUCCACUCCUGGGUCCCUGAACUCAGACAGGGUGAGAGACUCACCCAGAUUCCCUCCCCAUGCCGAGACUGAUCUCCACAUCCUGCCUCUCUGUCUCACCCUUGCCUCUGCAGGGUGAAACUGGGUCCAUCUGGCCAGACCCCCGAGUCUCCUCUGUGGCUAUCACUGUUUGUGGAGGUCAGACCUGCCAAAGGUGAGACUCAGGGCCAUGAGAGACAGGGGUGCAAGCGGUGUGAGCAGGCAGCCUCUCCUCCCUCCCUCAGCAGCUGCAAGGUGGGCACCCCCUUUCUGCACGACGAGAUCAACAAGGCAGAGCUGGACGCUGUCCCCAAGGAGUCACUGUGCAGUGGGGAGACAAUGAGGCUCCUGACAUCUGAGCUUCCCAUGACAGGAGCUUCAGUGCAGGGCUCAGGCAGGUGGGGUCGCUCUCCCCUAGGUUGAGGGUUCAGUCUCAGGAGGACUGAGCAGAGGGAUGCGGGGCUGUGGAAGAUUUUGUGUGUUGAUACGUGCCAAGGACACUGAGGGGAGCCCAGCCUGCAGGAGGCCGGGGAAACUGAGGCUGUUGUUCAGUGAGGCUUGGAAAGGAGGGUCAGGACAGAAGGCGUCAAUUUGAAAAGGGCAGACACUUCUCCCUUCGUUGUGGUUACCUGGACAUCAGGAGGGGUUUCUUCACCGCUGGCAUCUCAUUCAGCCACACUUCCCCUGGUUAGUCCACAGCAGGCGGCGUCUGCUGGACCCAGGGCUUUGCUCCUGCAAGUGCUGCUCCCAGGAGUCCAGGUGAACAGGAGCCAUGGAGCGAGGACCCCAGGCCUGGGGCGUACACCCUCAGUGCUGGGCAGGAUUAUUUUGGAGAAGAAACGUGCACCUGAAUUAAACAGAAGACUAUUUUUAACUGUGUGGCUGCAGGCUGAGAGGGAGUGGUGGGGGACCCUGGGAGGUGGAGCCUCCUUAGACCCAUGUAAGUUUUCUUGAAACAUUUUUUUGGGGGAAACAGAAGACAUAUAGAUAAAAGUGACCCCAAGAGAUCAUCUCAGGCAGGGUGCGGUGUCUCACACCUGUAAUCCCAGCACUUUGGGAGGCCGAGGCGGGCGGAUCACCUGAAGUCAGGAGUUCGAGACCAGCCUGGCCAACAUGGGGAAACCCCGUCUCUACUAAAAAUACCAAAAUUAGCCGGACAUGGUGGCGCAUGCCUGUGAUCCCAGCUACGCGGGAGGCUGAGGCAGGAGAAUCGCUUGAACAGACA
rnacentral:lncRNA from 10 species